GAUGAACGCUGGCGGCGUGCCUAAUACAUGCAAGUCGAGCGAACAGAUGAGGAGCUUGCUCCUCUGACGUUAGCGGCGGACGGGUGAGUAACACGUGGAUAACCUACCUAUAAGACUGGGAUAACUUCGGGAAACCGGAGCUAAUACCGGAUAAUAUAUUGAACCGCAUGGUUCAAUAGUGAAAGACGGUUUUGCUGUCACUUAUAGAUGGAUCCGCGCCGCAUUAGCUAGUUGGUAAGGUAACGGCUUACCAAGGCAACGAUGCGUAGCCGACCUGAGAGGGUGAUCGGCCACACUGGAACUGAGACACGGUCCAGACUCCUACGGGAGGUAGCAGUAGGGAAUCUUCCGCAAUGGGCGAAAGCCUGACGGAGCAACGCCGCGUGAGUGAUGAAGGUCUUCGGAUCGUAAAACUCUGUUAUUAGGGAAGAACAAAUGUGUAAGUAACUAUGCACGUCUUGACGGUACCUAAUCAGAAAGCCACGGCUAACUACG
rnacentral:rRNA from 1 species